UCCUCAGACUUCAGGGGCUCAUCUGUCUUCAUGCAGUUCUCCCAGUCACCUCCAUGUGAACGCUUAAUUCAAGACAAAGAUGACCUAAUUCCUUUUAAUUGCUGGCAGCAGUUGUGCUCUUCCAGGGUAGCUGUAACUGGCAGUGGCACUAGCUAAUCUUCAUUAAACAUCUCAAUAGCAGUGACUAAAACUGGGUCAGCUCCUCAGUGGCCCCCAGUAGGAGGAAGGAGCUGUGCCAGAAUUCAGCACCUGAGGAUCUUGCUUUGUCAGCCUGGAAAAGGAGCUUGUUUGCUACACCCUGAGGACUGCAUGCGGAGGGCCCCGUUCCCCAGAGAAAAGCCACCACCCAGGACUUCCGGGGGCAGAGAGCACAAGCCUGUAGAACACGUCAUGGCAGAAAUAUGUCAACAAUGAGCAGAAUCCAAAGCUUCAACCGAAGCACCUCCAAUAACUUCCAAAUAAGACGGAAACUACAGUUUCUCUGGAGCGACUGGGUAUGUGAUAAGUCUCUUAGCCUUGAAAUCCUAUUCCUAGGAUUCCUCUGAGCCAGUUUUUAAUUUCUGUUGCCAAACCCAACCAAUCUACACAAAUAUCAGCGUUCAGUGCCGCUGCACAGCAGAAAUGCCUUCUCUCCGCACACUAAAGGCUGCUCCAGCGCUUCUGCUAGGUAGCCUGACAGCUAAUUUGCAUUGAGAGGCCUCAUCAGGACUCCAGGUUAAAUCCUAGGUUGACGUUCUAGUCCAGUUAACGCUUAAAACAGAUAUCUAACUUAGAUAUAACUUGCAUAUGCUCCAGACAGCUCUCUCCAUGUCAGCUGAACUACAGACAUUGUUCAGCUAACAAGUGUCUUAAGUACUUCAAGGAUUAGAUAAGGUCUUAAGUCUUCUUGCCUCCCCCCUUAGCUACCAUUUAUACAUGCAUUUUUAUUUUCAUUACUUUUCAUACAGUUUGGUUUUUGUGAUAUGAAAAGAGUAAAUCCUUUUAGCUGACUUACUGAAAGAAACUUAAACAAGUUUAAGUAUGAAAUUACUUACAGAAGCAAAAGUGAAAUAUUUCACUAUCCCCAAAAGUUAACAGCACUGAUUAGUUACAUAAUAAAAAGCCUUUUGGCAGCACUUUAAAAGUCUGGUCCUCUGAAAGGAAGCACAUAAAGAACCACAUAUUAAACCUUGAUGACAUGAGUGGUAAAUUUCUCUACCUAGCCAUACUUCUCCACUUCAUUUGCAAAGCUUCUGUAAAAGGCUUCUCCCUUUAAAAAGAUUUUCUUGAAUGGUGCGAUCAAACCAUUGAGGCAUUAUGUAUUUGUACAGAGCUUAUAUAUAGUGCAAUACGUUUAAAAAUUCUGCUCUGAAAUAUUAACUUUACAUUAACAAAAAUAGUUUUCUUAAAAAAAUUGUAACAAAAGGAGUAUAUAGGAUAGACAGAUCAUGAGCUCUUAGCAAAUACACUUUUAAGCAUUUACCAUUACAAUACACUGAACAAUUGAAUAUUAGCAUUCAUAUCUGGUGAGCUUCCAGAGUGAAAAUAAAAGUAAAUAUUUAAAAAUAAAAAGAGUAUGUUCCCCUGUGGUUAUCUGAUAACUUUAGGUAAAUAUUCUGGCAGUGACACUUUCAAAGAAAUGUUUCUCUGCCCUUUCCUGUUUUACCCAACUGCUACAGGAUAUACAAAUAUGGAUGAAAAAACAGGCAAGGAAUGGCCCCUUCCACCUCCCAAAGCUUUCCAGCAUUAGAUGAAAUAAAGCACACAGUACUUUUUUGUACAGCAAUAACAGUUCAUUUCUCUUCCCAUCCCCAGCAUCCUUACAUCUAGUCACAAAUUAAUCAUGAGUGUGGCCAAGACUGAGCUUUAAUAUUCUGUUAGUUAAGCUGCUCAUAUGGAAAAUCCAUACCCUUCAAAGGAGCACUGCUGAGGUGAAAGGCUACUGAACUCAAGGUGGGAGGGAAAAUGGGAAAGUAAGGUAAAACAGGAAAUAAUUGCAUAUAAAACUCAUCCUUCCCCAUUUUCUAGUUUCUGUUUAACAGGAGAUCCAAGGGCUCCCACACACCUGAAUACCUGAGGAGUUGGUUACUGUGAUAUCUGAUAGUGAAACAAAACUACGUCUCCCACUGUGCCCGACCAGGGCUGUAAGUGAAAACGUUUGCUUACAAAUCAGUUAGAACUGAAUUAACUAUCACUGAAAUUACCAUUUAAAAACCUGACUUUUUUUUUUUUUUUGGUACUUUGGAGGUUUUACUCACAACUGUCCUGAAUUUAAUUUAAACAAAUCAAACAAGUAAAAUUCUCAGCACAUUUGCAGUUUUAUGGGAAAUUUGAGAUUUUGAUUCCCUAAACUCAAUCAUCAUUUCAGAUCAUCUUUACCAUGAUACCUCCUCCAGACUGUAAAAUAUCAAGCAGGUAAGAAUCAACAUUUCCAUGACCACAAUGAAUAAUUAAAAAAAAACGGAACAAUGAUAAAGCUGCUUGUAAAAGCCACCCGUAUGAAAAGAGUACAUGUUUCACAAAAAUAAUUGUUAAAAAAAGUAUUAAAUCUCUUGUCCUUUUUUCUCUGAUUUUGGCUGUUUAUA